AUUGGGAGUGGAGAUGAGCAGAUUUCGGAUCAAAUUAAAAAAUCGAAUCAAAUUGAAUCAAUUCGAUUUAAUCAGUUCGGUUUUAAAAUUUAAUUGGUUUGGUUUGGUUCGAUUUUAUAUUAUAAAAAUUUCAGUUAUUUCGGUUCAGUUCGGUUUUGAAGAGAAAAAAUUGAUUAAAUCCAAUCGAAUAGUAAUUUUAUAUAUUCAAAUCGAAUUAAAUCGAAUUGAAUUGAUUUUUGAAUUGAUUUAUUUUUAUAGAGAAUUUAUUAAUUAUAUUUGAUUAUAGAUAUAUAAAUUGUUUAAUUUCAUUGAUUAAUGGUUAUUAGGUUCAAAUCAAAGUCAAAAUUAGGCUAAAUAAUUUGAAAAUCAAGUCUAAAUUAAAAAUCAAUCAAAAAUAAAAUCGAUCAAUUUGAACAGAAUUGAACUGAAAUAGAGUGAUUCGGUUUGAUUCAAUUUUUUAUUCAUUUCGGUUCAGUUUGGUUUUUAAAAUAUGUAAUUUCAUUUUCAUAAUUUAAUUCGAUUUGGUUCGAUUUAAUUUAAUUCGGUUUAAACUGAAUACUUACCUCUAAUAAUUGAAAGAGCGAAGACACAAAAUUUUUAUUGUAUACUUUUAACUAUUGAAUCAACCAGUAUAAAUAUUUAUCUUGUAAUAUAAUAAAAUAAGAAUUUAUUUUUUUUUUUGAAAGAAAGUGAUAUUACGCUAUAAAUUUCACAUUUCAUUUGAAAAAUCACUUUAGCAGCAUAAUCAAACGGAAUAAUAAAAAAUUUACUAAAAAUAAAAAUGAUUUUUCAUAGCCGCAGCCUCUAGUGCAUGGUUAUUCCUAAUCAUAGGAAGACUCGUCCAAGAAUUUCUGCACGGGAAGACCCAUUCUCAACCGUAUGAAGACCAAUUGAUUCACAGAAAGAAGACCGAUUCCAACGGGAUAAUUCUUAAUUUGCAUUUCUCAAACUAUAAAUCAAUUGUCUGCUACUGUAACCAAAUUAACCUUUACCCUGUACCAAGCAUGGAGAAUUUCUCAUUCAAGUUUGCCUUUGUGCUCAUACUUUUAGUUGCAACAUCAGGUUUGGUGCCAAUGGCCAUAGCUGGUAAGAGAGGAAUGUUGCCAGUUCGAUGUACUACUGAUGACAACUGCAAGAACAAGUGCAUGUGGGAGAAAAGCACCUGCGUUGAUGGAUUCUGUACUUGUCCCUUAUAAUAAUAUUAGCAUAAAGAGCACCUCCUCCUCCUCCUCAUAUUUUUCUUUGAAUAAUGAUGCAGAAGAUGAAGAUCAAUCCCCUUUCAACUAUGAAAAUGAAAACAAAUGGUGCUUCCAAUAAUUUUAUGAAUCCAAUUAUACCUUUACUUCCAUUAUGUUGCAUUCCUUUUUCCUUUUUAAAAAAGAUAAUUAAAUUUACUUUUUCAAUUCAGUUAAAUGUAAUUCAUUCACGUUGUAAUUAUCAGAUUUAUAAAAGAAAAUAUAGAGCACAUUCACAUA